UAAUAUAAUUUAGAAUAACAAUUUACAAUUAUUGUUGCCUCACCAACACUUGAAUCAUGUGUUCAAGUAUUGGUGAGUCCAACUUAUCUGCAAACAUGUUCAGGAUGCGGUUGGUACCUGAGCGCAGUCUUGUCAGCAGUGAUGAUGACUUCUUCCGCAUUAUGGCAAAGAAGUCAUCAGUCCGCUCCUCUGCGAACAUACCUGACGCUGAACAAAACCGCGGCAAGCCCAACAGCAUCCUGAACCCGUUGUUAUACUGCACCCUUAGGGUGUCUAUGGCUUUCUUUGAGUAGUUGACCCACAGGCCUCCCGAG